rnacentral:rRNA from 1 species
GUUUGAUCCUGGCUCAGAUUGAACGCUGGCGGCAUGCUUUACACAUGCAAGUCGAACGGCAGCGCGGGGGCAACCCUGGCGGCGAGUGGCGAACGGGUGAGUAAUGCAUCGGAACGUAUCCUGUAAUGGGGGAUAACGUAGCGAAAGUUACGCUAAUACCGCAUACGCUCGAGAGAGGAAAGUGGGGGAUCGCAAGACCUCACGUUAUAGGAGCGGCCGAUGUCCGAUUAGCUAUUUGGUGGGGUAAAGGCCUACCAAGGCGACGAUCGGUAGCUGGUCUGAGAGGAUGAUCAGCCACACUGGGACUGAGACACGGCCCAGACUCCUACGGGAGGCAGCAGUGGGGAAUUUUGGACAAUGGGCGAAAGCCUGAUCCAGCCAUGCCGCGUGCGGGAAGAAGG